rnacentral:rRNA from 1 species
UGAGCAAUCUGCCCUUCUCAUCGGAAUAAGCGUUGGAAACGACGUCUAAUGCCUAAUACGACCUCCUUUCGCAUGAUCGGAGGUGGAAAGCUCCGGCGGAGAAGGAUGAGCUCGCGGCCUAUCAGCUAGUUGGUGUGGGUAAUGGCCCACCAAGGCGACGACGGGUAGCCGGCCUGAGAGGGUGACCGGCCACACUGGGACUGAGACACGGCCCAGACUCCGUACGGGAGCAG